CAUACUCUGAUAUACAUUGCACUUUGAAUAGCACAUUAUAUUUAACAAAGCAGCCAGCGGGAAAGUGAAAUGUCUGAUUAGAAAGACCACCAAGAGAAUGAUACCUGCAUGGUUUAUGCAGUAUGUUAAUUACAAUCUGACCGUGCAAUACAGUUUGGAAAGUAGUCCAGACACUCAAUGUGUAGCCAAAGAAGCGGUUUAUUAGGAGAGUGUACAGACAACGUUUUGACCCCAGAUAAAGCUUGACAAAGACCCUCUGGGGUCAUAACAGCUUUUUUUAGUUACAUCUCGAGUGCCUGGACUAUUUUCUACUUUCCAAACUAGAGUGAAGUUUGGCCUACAUAAGGUCUGGUUGCACCCUGGGAAACAAGGGAGUGGGGUGUCCACUUGCUUCAUUGAAUACAAUACAGUUUGACAUGUUUACCAAAUUGCACAUAAUAUUAAAGUGAUGCUCAUGGUACCUGAGAUGCAAUAAAACUUCCCA